rnacentral:rRNA from 1 species
AGAAUCAACGCUGGCGGCGUGCCUAACACAUGCAAGUCGAACGAGAAAGUGGAGCAAUCCAUUAGUAAAGUGGCGCACGGGUGAGUAACACGUGACUAACCUACCCUUGAGUGGGGGAUAACCUAGAGAAAUCUGGGCUAAUACCGCAUAAUACCUUCGGGUCAAAGGGGCAAUUCGCUUAAGGAGGGGUCGCGGCCGAUUAGUUAGUUGGCGGGGUAAUGGCCCACCAAGACUAUGAUCGGUAU